GUGUAUUUAUACAUAUAUUAAAGUAAUACAAAUUGAAACUACUUCUUCCGUAGUUUCACAUUUAUUAUUAACGGGUUUUUCAUUGAUUGAAUUAUUAUCCAAUGAGGAAUUUUUCGCUACUAAUCCAAGUAUUUUUGUGCUCUAGACUAGAAGACGCCACUGUAAAACAAGAGUAUAAAUAUUAUACCGGUUAGUUAGACAAGAAGCUGAUAGUCAACAAGAAUCUAAUUAAAUUGGAUUAUCAAAAAAUAAGUGCAUAAGUAUCAAUGCGAACAUCAAACCAUUCCAUAUUAAAAUUAUUACUUUUACAAUAAUUAUUGUUGAUUUUAUAAUAAAAUAAAACAAGUCAAAAACGUGAAGGUUUCUAACUACCUAUCUAAUAAAAUAAUAGUAGAAUAUUGAAAUAAUACUUAUUUGUACUUUGGUAAUUUUUUUAAUUUUUCAUUAGAAACUGCAUAAAGUUGAAAUAAUACGGCACAUAAUAAGAAAUAAUUUCUACUAAAAUGAACUAACUCAUAAAUGAACUAACAAAUCUUCAACUAGUUUUCUAAUAAAGUGAAAUAAAUCUGAAAGAAUACACUUUUCUAAAAAGCGAUAGCAAAUAAUAUACUUACUCGUUAGUAAAACACAGAAUUAUUUCGUAUUGUAUCACUUUCUUUGAAAAUACUGGAUAUCUUACCUCCAAACACAGCCGGAGUAUAACGGAAUUCCACCACUUUACGAGUACCGGUUUGUGCAAAGGCGUUAGUAAAAAAGAGCGGGAAAAUCAUUUAUCUCUCUCAUUUUCAUCAUUUUAACCUGGCUGUUAAACGGAACAGGUUCUUCUCGUCUAGUUAUUUCACUUUAUGA
rnacentral:lncRNA from 1 species